GAGUGCCUGGCGUGCUCUGGUCCAUGGGGUCACGAAGAGUCAGACACGACUAAACAACAAAAACAGCAGACAGACUGACUGGAAGAAGGCAAGGCCAAAUCAGUGAAGCAAGACAAAGCAGGUAGCCUCUUGUUGAUCCUAACCCUGAGGGCAGGGUCCACUCACCACAGACCAGUAACACUUAAUGCACUUGAAGUGAAAAAUGAAUGUGACCAAGUUUUCCAUUAGAAGCUGAAGUUUUAUUACAGGAGAACAGUACAUAAAGCACAUCUAAAAUUGAUGUGUUCAAUGCACUUAAUAAAGGUUUUGCCCCUGCUCUGAUGCUGGCAUCUACAUACUUUCAGCUACAGCUUGAGUUCUUCGGCAUGUUAAAAAGGCAUCAGCAACAGUUCCCACCAUUUUACCUUUU